CGACGUACUUCCUCUUCUGUCAGUUCUGAAAAGCUACCAGACUCAGUGAGAGGCAAGGACUUUUCAUCUUUAGGGCAUUCUGACCACGUCCUGCUUCAGAGAGAUUGUUCCCGGCGUCUCAGUGCUAUGGGGAGCAGGUUCCUCCUGGUCCUGCUCUCAGGUCUCACUGUCUUACUGGCUCUGCCAGGAUCAGAAGCCAAGAAUUCUGGAGCUUCCUGUCCUCCAUGCCCUAAAUAUGCCAGCUGCCACAACAGCACCCACUGUACUUGUGAAGAUGGCUUUCGGGCCAGGUCUGGCAGGACAUACUUUCAUGAUUCCUCUGAGAAGUGUGAAGAUAUUAAUGAAUGUGAAACCGGGCUGGCAAAGUGCAAGUAUAAAGCAUAUUGUAGGAAUAAAGUUGGAGGUUACAUCUGUAGCUGUUUGGUAAAAUAUACUUUAUUCAACUUUCUGGCUGGUAUUAUAGAUUAUGAUCAUCCGGAUUGUUACGAGAACAAUAGUCAAGGGACGACACAGUCAAACGUGGAUAUUUGGGAAAAUCUGAGAAGAAAUGGAAGCAGAGAGGACUUUGCAAGAAGGGCUACUCAACUAAUUCAAAGCGUGGAGUUGAGCAUCUGGAAUGCGAGUUUUGCUUCUCCAGGAAAGGGUCAAAUUUCUGAAUUUGAUAUAGUCUAUGAAACCAAGAGGUGCAAUGAGACAAGGGAGAAUGCUUUUCUGGAAGCUGGAAAUAACACCAUGGAUAUCAACUGUGCUGAUGCUUUAAAAGGAAACCUAAGAGAGAGCACUGCAGUUGCCCUAUCACUUAUCAAUCUCUUGGGGAUAUUCUGAAUGCAUCCUUUUUUAGUAAACGAAAAGGGAUGCAGGAAGUAAAACUGAACUCUUACGUUGUGAGCGGCACCGUCGGUUUGAAGGAAAAAAUUUCCCUCUCUGAACCUGUGUUCCUGACUUUUCGCCAUAAUCAGCCUGGUGACAAGAGAACAAAACAUAUCUGUGUCUACUGGGAGGGAUCAGAGGGAGGCCGCUGGUCCACGGAGGGCUGCUCUCAUGUGCACAGCAACGGUUCUUACACCAAAUGCAAGUGCUUCCAUCUGUCCAGCUUUGCCGUCCUCGUGGCUCUUGCCCCCAAGGAGGACCCUGUGCUGACCGUGAUCACCCAGGUGGGGCUGACCAUCUCUCUGCUGUGCCUCUUCCUGGCCAUCCUCACCUUCCUCCUGUGCCGGCCCAUCCAGAACACCAGCACCUCCCUCCAUCUAGAGCUCUCCCUCUGCCUCUUCCUGGCCCACCUCCUGUUCCUGACGGGCAUCAACAGAACUGAGCCUGAGGUGCUGUGCUCCAUCAUUGCAGGGCUGCUGCACUUCCUCUACCUGGCUUGCUUCACCUGGAUGCUCCUGGAAGGGCUGCACCUCUUCCUCACCGUCAGGAACCUCAAGGUGGCCAACUACACCAGCACGGGCAGAUUCAAGAAGAGGUUCAUGUACCCUGUAGGCUACGGGAUCCCAGCUGUGAUUAUUGCUGUGUCAGCAAUAGUUGGACCCCAGAAUUAUGGAACAUUUACUCACUGUUGGCUCAAGCUUGAUAAAGGAUUCAUCUGGAGCUUCAUGGGGCCAGUAGCAGUCAUUAUCUUGAUAAACCUGGUGUUCUACUUCCAAGUUCUGUGGAUUUUGAGAAGCAAACUUUCCUCCCUCAAUAAAGAAGUUUCCACCAUUCAGGACACCAGAGUCAUGACAUUUAAAGCCAUUUCUCAGCUAUUUAUCCUGGGCUGUUCUUGGGGCCUUGGUUUUUUUAUGGUUGAAGAAGUAGGGAAGACGAUUGGAUCAAUCAUUGCAUACUCAUUCACCAUCAUCAACACCCUUCAGGGAGUGUUGCUCUUUGUGGUACACUGUCUCCUUAAUCGCCAGGUUCGAAUGGAAUAUAAAAAGUGGUUUAGUGGGAUGCGGAAAGGGGUAGAAACUGAAAGCACUGAGAUGUCUCGCUCUACUACCCAAACCAAAACGGAAGAAGUGGGGAAGUCCUCAGAAAUCUUUCAUAAAGGAGGCACUGCAUCAUCAUCUGCAGAGUCAACCAAGCAACCGCAGCCACAGGUUCAUCUCGUCUCUGCUGCUUGGCUAAAGAUGAACUGACCUGGCAAGUGCCAUGGCAAUGACCCGGAAGUUACCGCUCCUUUCCGUUUGUCUACAGCGCCCCUGUGGUCACACAUAGAUUGGACAAAUGCCACUAUUUCUAGCUUUCCUGUGAAAAGUCUAGGCUCAUUCACCUAUUUUGGCUUUUUAUGUUCAUAGAAAGAACAAGACAUUUGGGAGAAUUCUUAGAUCCAGAGUCCAGUAGUGUGGCACGUGCAAUGAAGUGUCGGAAGGAUGCAUUUUAAAGAUGGCGGGCGGGAGAAGUGGAUUUUCUUCUUGCAGCUACUGCCACCUUGCCAGAAACUCACUAACUGGCAUCUGGAUUCAGCUCAUAGUUCCCUUUCUGGCCUCUCUGCUGUAUUUUAUGCUCCCAAAGAUCUUACAUUAACACUCCACAUUCACAUAAUUCAACAAUUUUCAUAUGGAUCAGUAUUAAAGAGGGUGUUGCAUUUUGCAAUACAAAAAUGCAUUAUCAGGUGCUGGAGAGGAUGUGGAGAAAUAGGAACACUUUUACACUGUUGGUGGGACUGUAAACUAGUUCAACCAUCGUGGAAGUCAGUGUGGCGAUUCCUCAGGGAUCUAGAACUAGAAAUACCAUUUGACACAGCUAUCCCAUUACUGGGUAUAUACCCAAAGGACUAUAAAUCAUGCUGCUAUAAAGACACAUGCACACGUAUGUUUAUUGUGGCAUUA
ensembl:lncRNA novel transcript